rnacentral:tRNA from 1 species
UCAAAAGUAAGCUAACCUAAGCUGAAGAGCUCAUGACUCUUUGAUAAUAAUUUUUCUUUUGAA